rnacentral:rRNA from 2 species
CGAACCAAUAAGAAGCUUGCUUUUUGUUGGUUAGCGGCGGACGGGUGAGUAACACGUGGGUAACCUGCCUGUAAGACCGGGAUAACUCCGGGAAACCGGUGCUAAUACCGGAUAGAUUAUCUUUCCGCCUGGAGAGAUAAGGAAAGAUGGCUUUUGCCAUCACUUACAGAUGGGCCCGCGGCGCAUUAGCUAGUUGGUGAGGUAACGGCUCACCAAGGCGACGAUGCGUAGCCGACCUGAGAGGGUGAUCGGCCACACUGGGACUGAGACACGGCCCAGACUCCUACGGGAGGCAGCAGUAGGGAAUCUUCCGCAAUGGACGAAAGUCUGACGGAGCAACGCCGCGUGAGUGAAGAAGGUCUUCGGAUCGUAAAGCUCUGUUGUUAGGGAAGAACAAGUAUCGGAGGAAAUGCCGGUACCUUGACGGUACCUGACGAGAAAGCCACGGCUAACUACGUGCCAGCAGCCGCGGUAAUACGUAGGUGGCAAGCGUUGUCCGGAUUUAUUGGGCGUAAAGCGCGCGCAGGCGGUCCUUUAAGUCUGAUGUGAAAUCUUGCGGCUCAACCGCAAGCGGUCAUUGGAAACUGGGGGACUUGAGUGCAGAAGAGGA